ACUGAUAUUCAUGAAUGAAAUGUUAAAUACUUCAAUGCCAAAUAUAUAAAAGCAACAUGUCUAAAAGUAUUGACAAAGUGAAUAGUUCUUUUUCAAUCCUCCUGACAUAAUGAAUAAGAACGGUAGUGUAUAGAAGAAUUCUAGUGUUGAAGAUGAAAGUAUCAGGUAGUGACAUUUUGGGUCAUAAAAUAAGGAUGACAGUACCCCUAAGGUGAUUGAAGGUCAACAUUCAAUUUUGAGGUCUUUAUAAGCUUUUUCACUGUGAUUUUGAUGUCCAGAUGACAGAUGUGAACAGUUCACCACCAACAACAAGUAGACGAUCUAAGGCCUGAAAAAUAUAACUACAAAGGUGAAAAUAUGUAUACAAACAUAUCAGAUGCGUAAUAAUUUAAAUGGUUAUACUCCACAGCAACAGGACUCUCUGCCUUUUAAUCCAAUCUGUACCAGGUGAUAUCCAUGAAAGUUUUGUGUACUCUUCAUAUGAAUCUGAAUAGUAUUAUUUGAAAGGAAACCAGUAAUAAUCAUUACAAAUCUUUCACAACAGAAAUUAAUCUAUUUUUCACUUUUUAGGAUUUUACGAAACAUAACUGUAAGCUAGUGGUAAAUAUAUUUAUUUUGUGAA